rnacentral:rRNA from 1 species
AGUGGCGGACGGGUGAGUAACGCGUGAGAAUCUGCCUUGGGGUCGGGGACAACCACUGGAAACGGUGGCUAAUACCGGAUAAGCCGAUUGGUGAAAGAUUUAUUGCCCGAAGAGGAGCUCGCGUCUGAUUAGCUAGUUGGUGAGGUAAGAGCUCACCAAGGCAGCGAUCAGUAGCUGGUCUGAGAGGACGAUCAGCCACACUGGGACUGAGACACGGCCCAGACUCCUACGGGAGGCAGCAGUGGGGAAUUUUCCGCAAUGGGCGAAAGCCUGACGGAGCAAGACCGCGUGAGGGAGGAAGGCUCUUGGGUUGUAAACCUCUUUUCUCAGGGAAGAAGCUCUGACGGUACCUGAGGAAUCAGCCUCGGCUAACUCCGUGCCAGCAGCCGCGGUAAUACGGAGGAGGCAAGCGUUAUCCGGAAUUAUUGGGCGUAAAGCGUCCGCAGGUGGCGAUUCAAGUCUGCUGUCAAAGCACGGGGCUUAACUCCGUAAAGGCAGUGGAAACUGAAUAGCUAGAGUGCCGUAGGGGUAGAGGGAAUUCCCGGUGUAGCGGUGAAAUGCGUAGAGAUCGGGAAGAACAUCGGUGGCGAAAGCGCUCUACUGGACGGCAACUGACACUCAGGGACGAAAGCUAGGGGAGCGAAUGGGAUUAUAUACCCC